rnacentral:rRNA from 1 species
UUGACCUCAAAUCAGGUAGGACUACCCGCUGAACUUAAGCAUAUCAAUAAGCGGAGGAAAAGAAACUAACAAGGAUUCCCCUAGUAACUGCGAGUGAAGCGGGAAAAGCUCAAAUUUGUAAUCUGGCGGUCUUUGGCCGUCCGAAUUGUAAACUAGAGAAGUGUUAUCCGCGCUGGACCGUGUACAAGUCCCCUGGAAUGGGGCGUCAUAGAGGGUGAGAAUCCCGUCUUUGACACGGACUACCAGGGCUUUGUGAUGCGCUCUCAAAGAGUCGAGUUGUUUGGGAAUGCAGCUCAAAAUGGGUGGUAAAUUCCAUCUAAAGCUAAAUAUUGGCGAGAGACCGAUAGCGAACAAGUACCGUGAGGGAAAGAUGAAAAGAACUUUGGAAAGAGAGUUAAACAGUACGUGAAAUUGCUGAAAGGGAAACGCUUGAAGUCAGUCGCGUUAGCGAGGGAUCAGCCUUACUUUUGUGGGGUGUACUUCCUCGUUGACGGGUCAGCAUCAGUUUUGGUUGCUGGAUAAAGGUCAGGGGAAUGUGGCAUCUUCGGAUG